GACGAACGCUGGCGGCGUGCUUAACACAUGCAAGUCUGCGAGAAAGGGGUAGCAAUAUCCUGAGUAAAGCGGCGCACGGGUGAGUAACGCGUAGGCAAUUUACCAUUAGGACGGGAACAACCCCGCGAAAGCGGAGCUGAUACCCGAUAAUGCAGCGGCACCGCAUGGUGAUGUUGUUAAAGGCCUUCGGGCGCCUAUUGAUAAGCCUGCGUCCCAUUAGGUAGUUGGCGGGGUAAUGGCCCACCAAGCCGACGAUGGGUAGCUGGUCUGAGAGGAUGAACAGCCACACUGGAACUGAGACACGGUCCAGACUCCUACGGGAGGCAGCAGUGAGGAAUAUUGCGCAAUGGCCGAAAGGCUGACGCAGCGACGCCGCGUGAAGGAUGAAGUCCGUUAGGACGUAAACUUCUUUUGCAGGGGAUGAACAGUCCGUUUCACGGAUUUGACCGUACCCUGCGAAUAAGGAUCGGCUAACUACGUGCCAGCAGCCGCCGUAAAAC
rnacentral:rRNA from 1 species